rnacentral:lncRNA from 1 species
UGUAUGUUAGUGUGUAGUGAAUGCAGAGUGCGUCAGUGUAAUGAAUGUAGUGUGUGUGUUAGUGCAGUGAAUGCAUAGUGUGUGUAAAUUUGUUGUGAAUGCAGAGAGUGUGUUAGUAUGUAGCGGAUGCAGAGUGUGUGUUAGUGUAGUGAAUGCAGAGAGUGUGUUAGUGUGUAGCGGAUGCAGAGUGUGUGUUAGUGUAGCGGAUGCAGAGUGUGUGUUAGUGUGUAGCGGAUGCAGUGUGUGUUGCGUUAGUGUAUGCAGUGUGUGUGUGUGUUAGUGUAUGCAGUGUGUUGUGUUAGUGUAUGCAGUGUGUGUGUGUUAGUGUAUGCAGUGUGUGUGUUAGUGUAUGCAGUGUGUGUGUUGUGUUAGUGUAUCUGUUGUGUUAGUGUAUGUGUUGUGUUAGUGUAUGUGUUGUGUUAGUGUAUGCAGUGUGUGUGUGUUGUGUUAGUGAAUGCAGUGUAUGUGUGUGUUAUUGUAUGCAGUGUGUGUGUUGUGUUAUUGUAUGCAGUGUGUGUGUUGUGUUAUUGUAUGCAGUGUGUGUGUUAGUGUAUGCAGUGUGUGUGUUGUGUUAUUGUAUGCAGUGUGUGUUAGUGUAUGCAGUGUGUGUUGUGUUAGUGAAUGCAGUGUAUGUGUGUGUUAGUGUAUGCAGUGUGUGUUGUGUUAGUGUAUGCAGUGUAUGUGUGUGUUAGUGUAUGCAGUGUAUGUGUGUGUUAGUGUAUGCAGUGUGUGUUAGUGUAUGCAGUGUAUGUGUGUGUUAGUGUAUGCAGUGUGUGUGUUAGUGUAUGCGUAUGCAGUGUAUGUGUGUGUUAGUGUAUGCAGUGUAUGUGUGUGUUAUUUUAUGCAGUGUGUUUUGUUAGUGUGUGAUCUGGGGUGGGGGGAGGAAGGGGCAUUUUAACAUUAAUUUUUUAUUAAUUUAAUUAAAUGUUUCUCCCCCCUCCCUGCUUACCUGUGUCCAUGGAGGGGGAGAUUCCAUCCCUGGUGGUCCGGUGGGGGGCCCCCCGGCUCCCUGUUACCGCAGAAGGGGGCCCAGGCAGCACACAGCUUCUCCUCCUCUCUUCUCAUAACUCUCGCGAGACCCGGUUACCAUGGCAACGCUCAGCGGGUCUCGCGAGAGUUAUGAGAAGAGAGGAGGAGAAGCUGUGUGCUGCCUGGGCCCCCUUCUGCGGUAACAGGGAGCCGGGGGGCCCGCGGCUGCACACAUAGAUAGUGUGGUGGAAUCUCGGUAAAAAUAAAUUUAGUAGGCCGAGAUUACCACAUGGCAUGUGUACGUGCAUAUGCUGACGUAUUGAUCAGUUGGUUGCACGAGGCAAGAUACGAUCAGUAGUGUACGGAGCAUGUGCAAGAAUACAGGAUGUAGUAUUCCCCUCCUCCAUUGUGCUGGACAAGCCAUGUGGUCAAGCAGGAAGUUAGUUCUUAUUUGUAAUGAUUGGUCAAGAGAAUGUGCGGGUGGAGCUUAAUAUGGGAGGAGUUAUGUGCCUAUAUAGGAAGCCUGCACUAUUGUUCAGGGCUCAGAACUUGCUGUAUUUUUGGUGACAUUAGUCCCUCUGAGUCCCGAUCGGUGAUCCAAUAAAGAAUCUCUUCCUUCCUGAAGAAACCUGUGUCCAUCCCUCUGUACUUUGCUUCCGUCAGUUUCUCCGGUAUCAUUUGGUGCAUUGGCCGGGAAGCUCAUCGUUCAACGGUAGCUGAGAGGCAGAGGCGUGAGACAGUCUAUCUUUGCCCACGUUCUCUACGGCUGCACCCCUGAACUUCUGCGUGGACCUCCCUUCGUCUCGGCGCCACUGGUCUGUUGUCCAGGAGAUCAUCGGCCUCUACGUAAGAAGUGCUGGGGUGUCCCCGUCGAUGAGUGUGAACUCAGGUUCAGGAACGAGGAGGUAAGACAACUGCUGUUUUAGACGGCAGACCCACUAGGGGUAUACCGAUUGUGCGGUAGGCCCAAAAGGAGUUUAAAUCUGUGUAUGGAAUCUGCCCCCUCUGUCGGAGGGAAGGAGCGAAGGCGCACCGCUCGAUCGAACGCUCUUUAGUAAGACCGUUUGAUCUGGUUAGUCAGGCGGGGUCCUGUGUAAAUAGCCCUAGCGGGACACCGGUGUCUUGUCUAGACUAGCGUUCUAGGGUGUAUAUUACGUUCGCUAGGUCGGAGGGACCGGGAGACUAAGCGGCGCCUGUGUAAAUUCGGUUCGCUAGCUCUCAACCUAUCUUGGCUAAGUGGAAGGCGUGUAAAUUUGGAACCCACUAGACUUUUGAUAGAGUAAAUAGACUAGAAGGGCAAUUUUGUAAAUUUCGCCCUCUAGUUCGCUAUAUGUGGUGCUUGGGCAGUGUGGCUAACCAAAACGAGUGUAUAUAGUUUUAGGUAGUCCAUUCAAGGUACUGGCCAAUAGUUUAGUUGGGAUUGUAAAUGUGUUAAAGAUUGUUAGUAAAGUGUAUAUCUUGUUAGAUGGCGCGAGCUCAGCCGUCUAGCGAGAGUGUUAAUAGUGUGUUGCUGUAUCAUAGUGCACGGUACCAUAACCCUGUAUAUUUACUGACACUGUAUAUAAGUACCAAUCAUUGUCGUCUAUUGCAUGUUUAACACCGUAACCACUAAUAAUUGUAUUGUGACCUUAAAUUGUGCUUUGACCUAUGCUAACCGUACUGUAACCGAUACUAGUAAAAAACGAUGUUACUGGGGUGUGUUAUAGACGGGUAAUUCAUAUAUAGAGAAUUAUAGCGUGGGUGACUGUAUAGUUUCGCCAAAGGGCAUAAUAUUGAUUAUUUAGCGACUGGUGUAACAGCUGUGUGUGUACGGGGAUUCCCUGAGUGAUUAUUGUGUUAUUGUGUACGUUUCACUUGGUAACUGUACCACGUGGUGCUGUUGCCAGAGGAAACGGGUGUGACUGUUGAAUAAGAACACGUGCAUAGUAUUCGUUGUCAACGACGUUCCAUUGAUAAGUAUGGGCGCGUCAGAGUCAACGAUUUCGGAUCCCUUAGGUUGUAUGGUAAAGAAUUUUUAAAAGGGAUUCAANNNNNNNNNNNNNNNNNNNNNNNNNNNNNNNNNNNNNNNNNNNNNNNNNNNNNNNNNNNNNNNNNNNNNNNNNNNNNNNNNNNNNNNNNNNNNNNNNNNNUAGGCUACCUAGACAUCUGUCUCUAGCUUUGCUAGUUACUAAAAACAAUAGUGUCAAGAAACACCACAGAUCCAUGUACAGACAUCUCCUUUCUCCAAAAAUUCAGCCUGAGCAUUUUUAAUCACAGCGGCCCAGUGAGAUGGGGCUGGGCCAAAGAGGGAAUGUUAUGUCAUCACCAAAGACAAGCAUGCCCCUCUGAAAGUGAGCUUGUUGCUUCAAUGCUCUACCAGGGCAGCCCAUGUGCAGAGCACAGCUGAAGAACUCUUAAAUAAGAAAAUAGCCCUGUAUUUGUUCUGCGCAGUACAAGCAAAUUUGCUUAUGACUUGUCUCUGGUCUCUCCAUAAAUAGUAUACCUGGGGCUGAGACAAAGGAGCCAGGGAAGUGUAUUGUGCUUCUGUCUGUCUGCUGCUUGUGGCAUUGUGUGUGUAGAGUGAGCUGAUUAUGGUGUGGUGUUUCGUGUAAAUAGGUCGGUUUCACUUGUGUUGUGCAAUAUGUAUAGUUAUGGGCUGUAAAGAGUAAGAUAGUGUGUGUAUGGGGGGCAUAGCUUGUAUAGGGGCUGUAGUGUAUGUGUGUUUAGGUGAUGUAGUGUGUACAGGGAAUCUACUGUGUGCAUAGGGAAUCCAGAGUGUGUUUGCCACGGGUGUGGUGUGUGAGGGGUGCAGUAUGUGUGUGAGAAGUGCAGUAUGUGUGUGAGGGGUGCAGUGGGUUUGUGUGUGGGAUGCAAUGUGUAUUAAUGAGAAAGUGCAAUGUGUGUGUGUGUGAGGGGUGCAGUGUGUGUGUGUGUAGGUGCAAUUUGUGUGUGAGAGGUGCAGUGUGUGGGAGGGUGCAAUGUGUGUGAGGUGUGCAAUGUGUGUGUGUGAGGGGUGAAAUGUGUGGUAAGGAUUUAAUGUGUGUGUGGAGUGUAAUUUAUAUGUGAGGGGUACAGUGUGAGUAUGUGAGGGAUGCAGUGCGUGUGUGUAAAGGGUGCAAUGUUUAUAAGUACUGGGAGGACUAAAUUGAGUGUGUGGGGAAUAAAUAUGCCCUUUUCAGUUAUUAUUUAAUAAAAAUAUAUAUAUAAUUAUAAACUUUAUAGCCCACUCUCUUUUGUUCAGGAAGGAGGGACAUUACAAACCCUGGUGGUCUGGUGGUGAGUAAACUCUAGCCUGCAGCUCCUAUGGCAUGAGUUCACUCUCGCAAAAUUUGGUCAGAACGUUGCAUAAUAACUGUGCCUGAAGGAGGACUGCCUGGGUUGUAAGGCAGGUCCCCUGAUUGCGAACAGGAUCUACAGUAAGAAGGUAGGCUGGAGGGAUCUUAGGCCAUGCUAUGCCGUGCUAACUGCAUUGAGCCAUCCUUUUGUAGGACAGCAUAGCACGCCCUAACAUCGGGAAGCAGGGCCGCCAUCAGGGCAUGACAACCGCAACGGUUGUCAUGGGCCCGGCGGUCCUGGGGGGCCCGGACUGCUCAGGUCGUCCGGGCCCCACAUUCAGUGGGUACAUAAUGGGUCGCAGGGGGUCCUGCGACCCGGUAUGUACCCACAGGGCUGGCCAGCCUCUUUCUCCCGGGGCCCAGCACCCGUCACCCCAAGGCCCCCAGAGGCUGGCCCCGCUGGCACCCGCCAUCUUCCGCCCGCAUCAGCAUACGCUGGGCGCCGGAGGGAGCUGGGAGGAGUGAAGCACUCAGAGUGCAGCCCCUAGCCGGGCCGUCGGCUCGGCUCACCGGUCGGGGUAAAAUUAAAUGGGAGGGGGGGAGGAAUUAAAUGGGAGGAAGGGGAGGGAGGAAUGAAAUGGGAGGGGGGGAAGAAAUGAAAUUUGAGGGAGGGGGGGAAGAAAUUAAAUUUAUGGGAGGGGGGAAGGAAGGAAAUUUGAGGGAGGGGAGAGGAAGGAAAUUUGAGGGGAGGGGGGAAAGGAAUUAAAUUUGAGGGGGGAGGGGAGAGGAAUUAAAUUUGAGGGAGGGGGGGAAGAAAUGAAAUUUGAGAGGGAGAGGGCAGAGGAAUUAAAUUUGAGGGGAGGGUGAGGAGGGAAGGAAAUUUGAGGGAGGGAGAGAGGAAGGAAAUUUGAGGGACGGGAGAGAAGGAAAUUUGAGGGGACGGGGAGAGGAAGGAAAUUUGAGGGACGGGGAGAGGAAGGAAAUUGGAGGGGGGAGAAAGAAAUGAGAGGGAGGGGGAGAAGAAGGAAAUUGAAGGGGGGAAGAAGGAAAUUGGAGAGAGGGAGGGAGGGGGAGAAGAAGGAAAUUGGAGGGAGAGGGGAGGAGAAGGAAAUUGAAGGGGGAAGGGGGAGAGAUUGACAUCCAUCACACACAAUGCACCCCUUGCACACAGAAAAACACACAAUGCAUUACACACAGACACACGUACACAAGCAAUGCAUCUGUCAGGUAUACCUAACAUUCAUGCUGCCGCCGGAACCCACUUCCGGGUUCACGGCGCUUAGCUCCGCCCCUUUUUUAUGACGCGGUCUUUCCACGAUACUUAGGAAGACCGCGCCAGAUUCAAAGUGCUGGAUUAUUCACUCAGGUGCGGCAGUGAGAUCAGCUGCUCUACUCGAUGCUACCGGCUCCACUUCUCGGAUUUCUACCUUCUCCUCUCCCAGACCUCGGCUUGUAAACGGAUUUCUACCUUCUCCUCUCUCAGACCUCGGCUUGGACAAACGGACUUCCUUUCUCUCACUACUAAACUGCAGUUUGUUAAAAGAGACUCCUUCCUCUUCCUCCAUUUGGGUGAAUUAACCCUUCCAGUGCCAGAGUGCUUCUAAGUUAAGUAAAUCUUUUGUCAAGGAAAGCAAGUCAUAUCAAUUAAUUAUAGUAUUUAAUUUCUUUAAACUCUCUGUUGACAAAUAAGGAUUGCUGCUAAGGCUAAAACUUCAUUAUUAAAAUUCAAGUUAGAACUAACUUGGCAUUUUCCUGAUUAUUAUUUAAAGAUACAGUCCACUGAUUUCACUCCAAUAUAAUAGGAGGUGAAACUUACUGUUCCUGCCCUCAGAAAAUUCUGCAGUUGAGUUCCAAUUAAAGAGGUAUUACACAAAAGCAUCACAGAAUAAUCCAGCCCAUUUCAAUGGAACCAGCAGAUAUUAACUCACAAGUUUCUGCCCUAACCAAUAGAGUGGAUACGAUUGCUCAAGGGUUACAGGAACUGCAAAUCACGAAUGAGAGAAUAUUAACCUAUGUUAGAGACAUGCAAGGCCAUCUUCCUCAUGCCGCUCUUCAAUCGGCUGGUGAUCCUGCUGUCUGUAAUCCAGAAAAAUCUUAUGGAGAUAGAACAAAGUACAGAGAGUUUUUGAAUUCUUGCAAACUUCUGAUAGCUUUAAAACCUAGAUCUUAUCUCACUGAAAGAUCAAAAGUUUGUUCAGUAAUUUCUUUUUUAAGAGGUGAACCUAUGGCAUGGGCUCAUUCCUUUUUAGAGAAUGAUGAUCCCAUAUUAGAUUCAUUGGAUGAAUUCUUUGAAGCUAUGUCUUUAUUAUAUGAAGAUCCUUAUAAACAGGCUACUGCUGAUUUAAACAUCAGAACUCUCCACCAAAAGAACAGACCUGUUGAAGAUUAUAUUGUAGAAUUUAAAAGAUGGGCUACAGAAACCCAAUGGAAUGACAUCACUCUACGCAAUCAAUUCCGUCUCGGAUUAUCAGAAGCUGUGAAAGAUGAACUCUCUCGUACUGAACUUCCUCCCACCCUAAAUGCAUUGAUUCAACUUUCCAUUAGUAUUGACAUACGUCUAAGAGAAAGAAGGGCAGAAAAAGUUCUUACUACUUCUAACUGGAGAAAACAUUUUACUACUCCAAAAAUUCCUGAAAAAUCUCUUCCUCACAAUGAACCUAUUGAAGUUGGUAUAAUAAGAAGCCCUCUUACUUCGGAAGAAAGGAUAAGAAGGAGACAACUAAAUUUGUGCAUGUAUUGUGCUUCAAAAGAACAUCUAAUCCCAGAAUGUCCCCUACUAAUCCAUUCGAAAGCUGUGGGAUACAAAAAGAAUCGUGACUGAAGCCAUUAUUGAUUCUGGUGCUAAUGGAACCUUCCUUGAUUUUUCUUUUGUUGCAAAGAAUAAAAUUCCGUGUGUUCGAAAAACCAAUUUUAUUCCAAUCAGAGUUAUUGAUGGUUCAUUUAUAUCCUCAGGACCCAUAAAAGAUGAGACAAUUCCUCUAAGAAUGAUUACCAAUAACGUACAUACAGAAUUCCUUACAUUUGAUGUUAUUAAAUCUCCACUUUAUCCCGUCAUUCUAGGAAUUAAUUGGUUAAAAACUCAUGAUCCUUUAAUUAAAUGGUCACCCUUUUCCAUUUCUUUUCCUUCUGACUUUUGCAAAAAAACCUGCUUCCAACAUAUUCCUAUUCUCCAAACUACUCAGGAAUCAAUUAUACCUCCAUUCUACUCUGACUUUUCAGAUGUCUUUUGUAAAAAAGAAGCGGAAACACUUCCACCUCAUCGAGCACAUGAUUGCCCAAUAGAUCUAAUACCUGGUGCUCCCAUUCCUUAUGGACACAUUUAUCCACUUUCUGAAAAGGAAUUGCAGACCUUAAAAGAAUAUCUUAAUGAAAAUUUACGUAAAGGAUUCAUCAGACCCUCGACUUCACCGGCUGCCUCUAGUAUAUUUUUUGUGAGGAAUAAGGACCAAACCAUCCGACCCAUUAUAGAUUACAGAGCCUUAAAUAAAAUAACCAUAAAAAAUCGUUAUCCUCUUCCACUAAUAAAUGAAUUAAUUGAAAGGUUAAGAACUGCAACUAUAUUCACUAAACUCGACCUCCGAGGCGCAUAUAACCUCAUUAGAAUAAAACAGGAUGAUGAAUGGAAGACCGCCUUCCGGACUAGAUAUGGUCUCUACGAAUAUCUAGUGAUGCCUUUUGGGCUUUGUAAUGCCCCUGCAACAUUCCAACAUUUUAUAAAUGAUAUCUUUAGAGAUCUUUUGGAUGUUUGUGUUAUUAUCUACUUAGAUGAUAUUCUAAUAUAUUCUAACAAUUUGGAUGAACAUAGGAAGCAUGUAAGAUGGGUUCUAUCUAGAUUGAGAACUCACAAAUUAUACGCUAAACCAGAGAAAUGUCUUUUUGAAGUUACUGAACUCUCCUUUCUUGGAUACAUUAUUUCACCUCAUUCUCUGAAAAUGGAUAACUCUAAAAUCGAAUGUAUUAUUAACUGGCCCGUUCCUACUACUACAAAAGAAUUGCAACGAUUUCUUGGAUUUGCAAACUUCUAUAGAAAAUUCAUUAGAAACUACUCAGAGGUAUCACAUCCACUUAACCACCUUAACAGUACUAAACGUCCUUUCAAAUGGAAUAAAGAUGCACAAGCUGCCUUCGACAGUUUAAAAAAAAGAUUUACAACUGCACCUAUUCUACAGCUACCUAAUCCAACAUUCUUGUAUGUCCUAGAAGUCGAUGCAUCAGAUUCAGCUAUCGGAGCAGUUCUUUCUCAGCAAAAGACUCCUCAAGAUCCACUUCAUCCAGUCGCAUUCUUUUCAAGAUCCUUGAGCUCUGCUGAAAAAAAAUUAUCCUAUUGGUGAAAAGGAAUUAUUAAGUGUUAAAGCUGCCUUUGAAAAUUGGCGCCAUCUAUUAGAAGAUACAAAACAACCUAUCAUAGUCUAUACAGACCAUAAAAAUCUUGAAUAUCUUUAUACUAAUAAAACCCUUACGGCUAGACAAGUUAGAUGGAACCUAUUUUUUAACCGGUUUAACUUCCAAUUAAUAUACAGACCUGGAACUAGAAAUAAAAAGGCUGACGCUCUUUCUCGAAUUCCUUCUAAAACUUCUAUUGAUGUUUAUCCUCCUAACAAAAUAAUAGGGAUCCUCUCUUCUCUUCAGGAUGACUUAAGGAACUUGAAUCAAAAGGAUCUUGAACUUCCCAAAACACCUAAUUUAACAAAAAAGGAUGGUAUAUUUUACUUUAAAAAUAGAAUUUAUAUUCCUCCCAUUCUUAGGAACAAAUUACUCAAAAUGGUUCAUGAUUCACCCCUAGCUGGACAUCCUGGAAUAAAGAAAACUCUUGAACUAACUUCACGAUAUUAUUGGUGGCCUCGCCAAGAUAGAACCAUUGAAUUAUAUGUCAAAACUUGUCCUAUCUGUCAAAGGUCCAAAUCUGAACAUAAUCAACCUUUUGGAUUACUACUUAACUUACCUAUUCCAGAAAAACCUUGGCAAUCCAUUUCUAUGGAUUUUCUUGUUGACCUUCCUCCAUCCCGACAGUUCACCACUAUUCUUGUUGUUGUGGACCGCUUCACUAAAAUGUCCCAUUUCAUCUCUUUAAAAAAAUUACCCUCCUCCGUAGAAUUGUCCAAAGUCUUUAUUGAUAAUAUUGUAAAGCUUCAUGGUCUUCCAGAAGAAAUUAUUUCUGAUAGGGGGACACAAUUUACCUCCAAAUUCUGGAAAGAGAUGUGUCUCUCUCUUCAAAUUCAACGCAAACUCUCUUCUGCCUAUCAUCCCCAAACUAAUGGGCAAACAGAGAGAGUUAAUCAAUGUUUGGAACAAUAUCUCCGAUGUUAUUGUUCAUACCUGCAAGAUGACUGGACCACUUGGUUACCUAUGGCUGAAUUUUCUUACAAUAAUACCAUUCAUUCUAGUACGAAAAUGACUCCUUUUUUCUCCAACUAUGGUUUUCAUCCGUCCUCAUUUCCCAUCCCAUCUAAUUCUUCAUCCAAUCCCACGGUUACUUCAAAAAAUGAAUUUAUGUCUUCUCUAUUCCUUAAAUUACGGGAGAAUCUUCAACUCGCCCAAAACUACCAGAAAAAGUUUUUUGACCAUAAUAGAAGAAUUCCCCCUCCUUAUAAAGUGGGGGAUCUUGUCUGGCUCUCUUCAAAAAAUAUUACCACAAACCGUCCUUCAAAGAAAUUGAGCUCUCUUUUUCUUGGUCCUUUUCAAAUAACUACAAUCAUCAAUGAUAACGUUGUUAAAUUAAAACUUCCUCCAAGUUUUAAACUUCAUCCAGUAUUCCAUGUCUCUUUGCUUAAACCACACAUCCCUGAUCCUUUCCAUAGAGAAAUAGUAACAACUCCUGAACCUAUCAUCGUCCAAGGUGAAGAAGAAUAUGAAAUUCAUAAGAUUUUGGAUUCUCGUAUCCACCGUGGCUCUUUACAAUACCUUAUCAGAUGGAAAGGUUAUGGAGUUGAUGAAGAUACCUGGGAAGAUUCAUCUAAUGUUCAUGCAAAGAGAUUAGUUGAUGCUUUUCACAAACGCUACCCCUCUAAACCGAAAUAAGUGCACCCAGAGGAUGCCCCAUGAGAAGGGGGUACUGUCAGGUAUACCUAACAUUCAUGCUGCCGCCGGAACCCACUUCCGGGUUCACGGCGCUUAGCUCCGCCCCUUUUUUCUGACGCGGUCUUUCCACGAUACUUAGGAAGACCGCGCCAGAUUCAAAGUGCUGGAUUAUUCACUCAGGUGCGGCAGUGAGAUCAGCUGCUCUACUCGAUGCUACCGGCUCCACUUCUCAGACCUCAGCUUGUAAACGGAUUUCUACCUUCUCAUCUCUCAGACCUCGGCUUGUAAACGGAUUUCUACCUUCUCCUCUCCCAGACCUCGGCUUGUAAACUGAUUUCUACCUUCUCCUCUCUCAGACCUCGGCUUGGACAAACGGACUUCCUUUCUCUCACUACUAAACUGCAGUUUGUUAAGAGACUCCUUCCUCUUCCUCCAUUUGGGUGAAUUAACCCUUCCAGUGCCAGAGUGCUUCUAAGUUAAGUAAAUCUUUUGUCAAGGAAAGCAAGUCAUAUCAAUUAAUUAUAGUAUUUAAUUUCUUUAAACUCUCUGUUGACAAAUAAGGAUUGCUGCUAAGGCUAAAACUUCAUUAUUAAAAUUCAAGUUGGAACUAACUUGGCAUUUUCCUGAUUAUUAUUUAAAGAUACAGUCCACUGAUUUCACUCCAAUAUAAUAGGAGGGGAAACUUACUGUUCCUGCCCUCAGAAAAUUCUGCAGUUGCAUUCCAAUUAAAGAGGUAUUACACAAAAGCAUCACAGCAUCCCUUACACACAGCAACACACAAUGCACCCCUUACACACACUCAAUGCAUCCCUUACAGACGCACACACUGCAUCCCAUACAUACACAAACUCAUCUUGCAGCCCUUACACAUACAAACACAGAUUCACACAAUGCAUUCCUUACACACAUCAGGACAUCCCCCCACACACACUCCACUCCCUGUGAACAAACUCAUUGGUGGAACAUGAAGGUGGACCCUGGGACCCAGACCUUGAGCUGUGUAAAGGGCCCUCAAAAAAAUGGAGCUGCUUCCCGUUCUCCCAGAACAGUGAUUUUUGUGACCACAGUUACAAACCGCCUCCAGAGAGCCUGUUGUACACCAGACCAGUGGAGCCAGACGGCAGCUAGAGCCCAUCAUCAUCCUCAUCUGGUUGUAAGUAGGCAAUCUAGUAUAUUAUUCGUGGCACUAAUCUCUAAUUUACCUCACAUUAAAGGGACACUAUAGUCCCCAGAACCACUGCAGCUUAAUGUAGUGGUUCUGGUUUCUAGCCUGUCCCUGCAGGCCUUUUAAUGUAAACACGGUGGCACUGCAGCACUGGUGUUAGUUAACAUGGCAGAUCGUAUGGGUGGGGCAUUGUGAUGUCCCAUUGUGAUGGGAUUUGGGGGGGGGGAGUGGGAGGGGGGCAGCACUUUGGGCGGACUGGGGGCCCGGGGGGCCCAGACCUUGAGCUGUGUCAGGGGCCCCAACAUUUCUGAUGGCAGCCCUGUCGGGAAGGGGUUAACUUGCUUUACAUUUGGUUUUAUAAGUAAAUAACAAACACAAUGCACUUUUAGCUGAAAAAAUUCCAGCAAAAAAGAUACAAAGAAAAUGGAUUACUGGGGUACUAAAAAGGGCCUAACCCUUAUCUUAACAAAUAUGCAAAAAGAAUGAGACGAGAGGAUCCCUGAAAAACAGGAAACAAAUCCCCUCAGAGCUAGUACCCCCUCUGGAGCAAUAUAGAUAUGUUUGCCCACUACCAUGUAUUAAACAAAGUGAAAAAAUUAUAAAGUUUUAAUGAAAAACUAUUAAAAAUCCCAUAUAUAAAUUCUAUAAUACACCAAACUGCUUUAGACUAGGGAUGAAGGAGUACAGAAAGGCAAUCUAAAAUGCACAUGUCCAAAUAGUGCAACUCGAUACUAAGUUGCUAAAGUUUCAGUAGAGAAGUAGUAAAAAAAAGCUACUUCAAAAUACAACAAAUUAGCAACAGUAUCCCAAAAAUUAACACUUAUGAGUAUAGAAGAGGCAGGCUGAAAAUACAUUCCAAUUCCUUCAGACCAGUCUACAAUAAACAAAUGACUCUUCACUAUUCACUAUCCAUAUAUAAACAUUAAUAUAUAGUCCUGAUGAUUUACUACGAGUAUAAAUUAAUAUAUCUUGGCCAUAUUGGCUCCAUAUAUCUCUGUAAAGUUGGUAAAUCAAAAGGACAGAAAGAUGUCAGUAGUAAUACUGGUAGACUGGUCUGAAGGAAUUGGAAUGUAUUUUCAGCCUGCCUCUUCUAUACUCAUAUGUGUUAAUUUUUUGGAUACUGUUGCUAAUUUGUUGUAUUUUGAAGUAGCUUUUUUUUACUACUUCUCUACUGAAACUUUAGCAACUUAGUAUCGAGUUGCACUAUUUGGACAUGUGCAUUUUAGAUUGCCUUUCUGUACUCCUUCAUCCCUAGUCUAAAGCAGUUUGGUGUAUUAUAGAAUUUAUAUAUGGGAUUUUUAAUGAUUUUUCAAUAAAACUUUAUUAUUUUUUCACUUUGUUUAAUACACGGUAGUGGGCAAACAUAUCUAUAUUGCUCCAGAGGGGGUACUAGCUCUGAGGGGAUUUGUUUCCCGUUUUUCAGGGAUCCUCUCUCCUCAUUCUUUUUGCAUGGUUUUAUAAGUAUCCAUAUGUAACUAUAUACAUAUAUGUAUAUGAUUAUAACAGAGUCAAGAUAUUUGUAGGAAUUUCAAUAAUUGAUCCAUGACUACUUCCAUUUUCAAGCCACUUUGUGAAAGUGAAAAGUGUUGAUCAUACAUCGAUCAUACAUCAACCAACAUUUCAAUUGGAAAAAUAGGGGCACUUUAAAAUAAAGGUGAUAAAAGAGUACUUAAAUCUUACACGCACAUAUUUAGUUAGUUUUAUACAAUGUGUAUGAGACACACCAUGAAACAAACGAAAGCUCAAAAUAGCUUUCUCUAUCAGUUGUUGCUUAAUCAAAAUAUCUCAAACGAGUUUCAGUACACAUGUGCCAUUACAAAUACAAUCUAGUAAUUGAAUGUGUCUUGCUGCUCCCUCUCACAGGGAUGGUCUAUGGAACAUACAGUGACAUAGAGAAUGCCCUCUCUUUAUGAAUCAUCGGACAAUCAUUUCAGCUUCUCAUAGACUUCAUACACAAGCACACAUCUCUCUCUCUAUUUAAUAUUGUUGCAUAAACAAUAAUAAUACUUUGUUAUUUUUUUUAUAUGGUUUGAUGAUAUUAUUUUGAUAUUUUAAUGUUUUGGAUAAAUCAUUUAUAAGUUUAUCCCAAAAAUCUUAAAUAAUUUGAAAAGCUUAUCUAACAAUAUUAAAUCAAGGCUGUAGAUGCUGUAUAUUGACACUGAAUUUAGAAAUCAACGUUGCACUACCCCUUUAAAAUGAAAAAAAAACAUAUGAGUAAACAUGCGUCCAGACAAUGUCUGGCAAUCUCACAUUUCCUAUUCCCUCGUUUUGAUUACAGCCCCUGGCUUGUUUCCUUGGAACUUCUCUAUUUCAUUUGUGUGAUGGAUUCCCAGGCUGAGUGAGACAUGUUCUGUAGGAUUGACCCUUGAGCUUUCAUGGGAGCGUCUGGCGCCAGUAAGCGGUGUUUAUGCCUUCUUCCAAUUCAUCAAACCUCAUCAAAUCAAUAGCGAUCAUUACAAACAGAAUCAUCAGGACCACUAUCUGUGCAUUUAGCUCCAUAUGAUCCUUUUGUGCUCUGCACGAUUUGCAUUUAUUAUGAGCUACCAGUUUCUCUACAAAAAUCUCCAACUUUCUUGAAAUGCAAAUAAUAAUUAAGUUGUCCUUCCUCUUGAACAUGUUUCUAUACAAAAGUAAUUAAAUUAUACUUAAUAAUCCAUAUUCUACAGGUGGCUAAAUCGUGUAUAGUGCAACUGUUGGAAACACACUAUCAAAUGAGGUAAAGAGUAAGUUUGAGCAAAUGUAUUUAUAUGAAGAAAUGUCCUCUACUGUAGAAUGUUAGCCAACUAGACAAGCUCCAUGCCAUAUGGGAUGGGUGGGAAGAAGUAAAACUGAUGUCUGUCAGUGUAUGUGUGUGUGUGUGUCAGUAUGUUUGUAGUGUAUGUCUCUCUGUAUGUGUGUUAGUAUGUCUGGCAGGGGGCAGGGUCUAGGGGCCCUAAGCAAAUGGUUGCCCAGGGUCCGGUCAAUAUUAAAGACAGCCCUAUGUGUGUGUGUGUGUGUGUGUGUGUGUAUGUGUGUGUGUGUAUGUAUGUCUGUAUGUCAGUAUGUAUUUCUGUAUAUUUGGUGUCUGUAUGUCAGUCUGUAUGUAUGAAUGCAUGUCUGUGUGAAUGCAUGUUUGUGUGUGUCUGUAUGUCAGUAUGUAUGUAUGUGUGUGUCUGUAUGUCAGUAUAAAUGUAUGUGUGUCUGUCUGUAUGUCCUAAUGCAUGUGUGUGUGUGUGUGCCUUUAUGUAUGUUAGUAUGUGUGUCACUAUGUAUGUUUGUAUAUGUGUGUAUGUCUGUUUCAGUACGUGUGAGCCAGUAUAUAUGUCUGUUUGAGUGUGUGUCUGUAUGUGUGUAUCUUUGUGUGUGUGUAUCUGUGUCCUUUUUGUAUCAUUGCAUGUGUUUGUGUCUGUGUGUGUGUAUACCCGUGGGCGGGAUUUGGAGGUGGGUCAUGUGGGCGGACUUGGAGGCGGGCCCCCAGGGGCCCAGACCCUGAACUGUGUUAGGGUCCCCAAAAUUUCUGAUUGCGGCCCUGCAAACACUGUAAAUCAUAAGCAAUAAGAUGGAAAGGAUACAGAGUGCAUAUAUAACAUGCUUUCAGGUAACAAGUAACAGUAGAAUAUGUACUUUUUUUUUUAAAGAAGUGGCAGGUAGUUAUAACAAAAAAACAACAACAUCUAAGCCCUUGGGAGAUGUCGAUAGAGAAAAGCUAUUGUGAAACAUCAGGAUUUAAAUUUGUCCCCAAGAAGGCUAAAAGUAUAAAUCUACAUAGGAAAACAUGCAAACAAUGCAUCUACAUAGGGGUUUGUAUACUUAUGUUACUGGAACCAGAGGCAUCAACAAUAAAGGUAAAUCAAGAACACAAUGGCACCUAUAGGGCCCUUGAGAAAAUUAGAACAAGAAAGGAUUAUCCAGAAGGUCAAACAGAAAAAGCAAAUAAACAUGUGCAAAUCCACAGACAGGUCUGGAACAUUGUAGGAGUUUGAGGCCACUCAUGUCAAAGAGGGGUCUUUAUUGGUAGAAAUUAUCCAAUUCUUGAGACAUCUAAUUCAUGGGGUACUGUUGUUUGCACGGGACACCACAAUAAAACAGAAUCACGUGGGAGUCCAAAUCUGUGGGAAAAGCAUUGUUCCGCAAGAAUACAAAUGUUUUCCAGAGACACAAGUGGGGGAGAAACAUGAGGGUGAGGAGAUAAAAACAGCAGGGAAUGAGGAGACAUGAAAGGAGACAUCCCAACAUUCUCACACACAACCUCUGAUAUGUGUGACAAACGCUGACAAAGUUGCUCCUACAUUCACACAUAGGAAGGCCUUACUACUUCUGACACUUCUGAAUUCACACACAGUUCCUUAUAAAUAUUAAAUCACAUUAAAUCAAUAGGUUUUUUAUUUUCUUCAGAAAUACAGGGAUAGUUCUAGUAACAUUGCUGAGAAAAACUGUGGCUAUUUAUUUUAUAGUUGAAACUUCUUUGUUAUAGUGCCUGUGCCUACUUAAUGUUUGUUGAAAAUUGUUUAUAUUUUUUUAGAUUCUCUACAAAAGUAAAAGGACAACAUGACUACAGAUUACUAGAUGUGCAGUUUUAUAUUGGACAAUUAUAACUUCUUCAUGCUGUCGUGAAUUUAUGUUAUUCUGCAAUGGCAGUGGUGUUCAUGAGUUUAUUGCUGUUAUUCCUUCAAUCCUCCACUAGUCCUAAUUCCAGAUGUGCUGGAUAUAGUGAAAGUAUUCCCUUUGUGUAGAGUUUCCCCAAUAUAAUGGACACAACCAGUCGUAUUGGGUAAAAUCAGCAAUCUGACUUUAUUAGGCCACACUUGGCUUUUUAUGCAGUGCCCCUAGCAUAGUGUUUCUAAUACAAAGUCACAGGGGUUUCCUUCCCACAAGCCAUUGUGUUUGAGAGAUAAUUGAGCUUCAAUUAAGCUAAUCCAAUUAUCUCUCAAAUAGGAAAGCUUACAUACAAUUGUUACAUAUUACAAAAAUACAUUACAACAGCAUCGGAACCCCACAAAAAGUUCAGUCAGUUCAGGUUGUUAAAACGAAAGUUAUGUUCGUGCAUAUGUGAAAUGGCUGCCUGAUAGAGGUGGUAUUGUCAAUUUCAAAAGGGGUUAAUUUGAUUGUAUGGGAGGUCAGAGCUUACAAUCUAAAUUCCUCUUUGAAGCUGGGACCCCAGCAGAGCUCCUCUGUAAGGUGUGAGAAUACACACAUAAGUGGCCUGGAAGUCUGGUUUCAGUAUAAACUAACUAUCUCAUUUGCAAUUUGUCUUGAUUCCCUCUUAGAUGAGGAAUCAUUUGAUAUGAACAAACCUUGUGUUCCAAUAUCAUAUCCAAAAGAGACAUUAAUACCUAUCCAGAGAUUAAUACUCAAGCCUAAUUUUUAUCAUAUUUAGAAUGGGACAAGCACAAUCUUCCAAUCAAGCCUAUUUGCGAACAAGGGGACCCCACAGAAUCUGUUCGGUAACCGAACAGAAGGGAACAAUUCCAUUCAAAUGCAGCGAAACAUUAGACGAUACAAAGUAUAAUUAAGCGAACAAGUACGAGGAGUCCCAUCUCCCGUGACAGGCAGAAAUCAAUUAAGUAAACAUGAGGAUCUCAUAGGAGCGUCUGUGAGUAAUUGUUGGGUGUCAGUUUUUUGUUGUGCCAUGAUGCAUGUAAAAGUAGAACCUCCCCUACAGGGGUCCUUCCUCAUUAUUGGUGGGAUAGUAGUAAAGGUGUGGGUAGCUGCUCCAGAUACACAGACCAACUACCAGAAAUCUAUAGUGGAAGGCAGUGAGGUUGUGAUGUCACAUAUCCACUGACCAACUCCCAAAUAUCUAUAGUGUUAGGCAGUGAGGUUAUGAUGUCACAAACCCAUUCCCUCUCACUCACACUGGACUUGAGGAGACAGAGUAAGUAUAUUAAUAUAUGUGUAUAUGUGUGUGUGUGAAUCUGUGUGUAAUUGCAUAUGGCUGUAUGAGAGUGUGUAAAUGAGUGGGUAGUUACACUGUGGGACAUGGGAAGUUACACUGGGGUAUGUGGGAAGAUGAACCAGUGGACACGGGAGAAUUACUGGGUAUGUGAGGAGAUGCAACGGAGGGGACGUGAAAACUUCAGUAGGUGGUACUGUAUUCUUGGACAUGGGCAGCACAGUGUCUUGGGCCAGCCAUGUGUAAAAGUCAUACCUCUGUAAUAAAACAUGGCACAUUUGGCAAUCUUCUGUCCUGUGGGUUACCAGCCAUACCUCAAUCACGGGUCUAUGACAGAACAAAACCUAUUCCUGGGGCUGCUGGAGAAUCUUAAUGUAGAAGAAUCUUGCUUAGCACUUCAAUCUUUUUCCCCUGUAAUGCGCUAAAACCUGUCUCAUAUGUUAUUAAUGGGGUUUAUCCCUGUCAAGCUGUGUCCAUGCUACAUGUAUUAUCUUUAACACUUUUAAGAUAAUUAUUUAUGGCCCCUUGGACACAAGCAGGAAAAAAGCAAGUAAUUAAAAUGUAUACUUAGAAAGAACCAGUAGUUUUAAGACCCUGGACAAAAUAAUAUCAGAAUUUAGUUUAACUUAACCCCUUAAGGACAUAUGACAUGUGUGACAUGUCAUGAUUCCCUUUUAUUCCAGAAAUUUGGUCCUUAAGGGGUUAAAAUGAUAUCUGGUAACUAUGUGAACUGGAAUGAUAUAGCUCUAGCUUCAUUUAAAGAAACAUUUCAAGAACCAUGACCACUGAGCAUUGGCACACCCCAUUGUAAGGUAUCAAAUCAUUUUAAAAGGUUUGACUUCACAUCUGGGGCCUGCCAGUUGCCGUUCCCCUCUUCUACUACUUCCAAUGGAGAGCCAGCAUCUCUCUACCUAAACUAAGUCUGGUGACACAGUUGACACUCUCAGCUAAUGAGCUAGUCCUCUAAGCUAGAAACUUCUGGUUCUCCUUGGGGAGUGGUGGAGACAGGGAACAGUGCCCAGUGAAACCCAGGUAAGAAGUCAAACCACUUUAAAACAGUUUGACUCCUUACAAUGGGCAGGGAGAAGUGCUGGGGCAUUCCUGGCACCAUAACCCCUACAGUGAGCUGCAGUGUUACUCUAAAUUAGUAUUUAGAUGCUUAUAUAUAUGUUUCAUAUACUAUUUAUUUAUCAGCUAUGCUCUGCCUGCAGCUGGAAGUUAAUGAUGUCAAUUAUACAAUACUCUGAAGUAGCUGAAGAUGCCAGUACUACAAAUGUACAUUAGCAAAUGUUUCAUAACAUAUCACUGUAACAGCAUAUCUUCACCCUACGAUGGCUGCAGGGGACAGAACUCUGUUUAAUCAUCUGGCUGGGGGGUCAUUUGUAAGGAUGUCUGCCUGCUUGGAUCUUGUUAAAUCCACAGUAAUAUAGAAAUGAAGAGUGAGCUUCCUCAACAGGAUAAAUUACAAACCAUAAAUUAACGUACAUGAAGACUUUGCUGCAGUGUUUGCCCUUCGGCUCUCACACAACAGUCUCUACAAACAUACAUAAAAGCCACAUGCAUAUUAAAUGUCUUAUCAACAUUUAUUUAAAGGGACACUCAGUGCCAGGAAAACAAACGUCCAGCGACGCUCUAGCACAGAAAACCUGUUCUAGAAACCACAAAGAGCCCUCUAGUGGCUGUCUAGUAGACAGCCACUAGAGGAGGAGUUAACCCUGCAAUGUAAUUAUUGCAGUUUAUGAAAACUGCAAUAUUUACAGCUGCAGGGUUAAGGGUAGUGGGAGAUGGCACCCAGACGACUCCAGUGGGCAGAAGUGGUCUGGGUGCCUGGAGUGUCCCUUUAACUGCUACCUGAGCCAGUGAACACAUGUGCAGGAAAUUCUGAAAUACAUGAUAAUUUCUCAUUACUGACACAGAAGGCACUGGGAGUAGUGAUCUAAUAAUCUCAAAUUUUAUCACAUGACAGGAGGCUUCGUAUUUUGCAUAAUCUUUCUUUACUAACUCCAUAGCAGCAAAGAAAAGAGUGAGAAGACUGAGAACCAAUCACAAUCACAGUAUAGAGUAUAAGAGGCGUGACAUAUGACAUAAUUUCCUCUUUCUUUGCUGCUCCAUCACAAGAGCUAAGUACACAAUUUUUCUCUGUCAUAUUUGCUGCAACUGUGAUUUAUACAUAUUCAUACUAUCAUUGUUUACCUAACUGUGAUAUUAUCAUACAUAUUCUUUGUUUUCUAUUGAUUACCUCUACAGUGGUGGGGGCUACCCCUCUCCUUUGGGGUCUGUUCACCCUCCCCUCAGGGACCUCCCUUCCCUCCCCUUCCCCCCCUCACCCCUGGCUUCUGGGGUAUUUCCCAGUCCCCAAAAGGAUUUUGGGACUCCCGAGCUGCUUAUUCCAAUUCCGAGCGCCAUUACUAUUGCUGCGUGAUUCUUCAUUAUGCAUUGCGGUUGCGGAACUUUCCCGCUUCCUGCUCACCCUUUCGCCUCACGUACGGCACUAAAAACUUGCCGUGCGUUCGCGGAAGGACGUUCACUCCCUUUCUAUCAAACGCUCACCAUUCGGCAGUUUUAUGCGAGCGCCGCUUGGUGCUCACAUUCGUAUGCUCGUACGCACAAAAACCCGAACAGCAUUACCAGAAAGCUCAUGUUCGGCUGUUUGUGCUCACGAACACCUGCAUUCGUGCAAAUCCUUGAUUUGCCGCUCAGAUUAGGGGAGGUACUAUUAGUCCGACGGCCAUUUUAAAGGGUUAUUGCUACCAGACAAACUGCCAAUCUCUACAGCUCUGAGUCAAAGCAAACUUGUUACUAUACCCUGCCUGUUUUCAAUCAGUGGGACCAAAUCAUGUUAGUGUCUAGCACUUGGGGUUGGUUAAGCCAGUUGGGCUAUCCCUUAUUCUGCCCAGGGUGAGCCCCCAUUCAUGUGUUGCUGAACGGACCUGUUUAGGCAAAACUCCGGUUACCUGGGUGAGCCCCAGUGACAAGCCCUCUCAUCACCUUCCUACAACCUACCGGUCCUAUAAGCUCCAGGUAAAUCAUUACCUAUACAUUACCACCCCUGGUUCCCAGGCCUCUCCAGUUAACGUGCCCAAGUGCCUUCACGCAUAGUUCGCGCAGACUCCGAAGACUCUGACUCUUUAAGGGAACGCUCCCAUCGGCCUAAACGCCACUGGAAAGGUGAGGCCGCUACGCCGCGCAAAUCAAAAGGAAAAGCACCAGCUAAACGCAGAACAACCACGACCCGUACGGUCCACGAACCCACUCAGAUUUCCUCAGGUGAGGAAGAAGCGGAACCCACACAUGCACUGGCUGUGCUGGAUGAAUGGCAGGUGGUGGUCUCCGAACAGGAGGACUCCGACAGGGACUCCGCAGCCAACUCUGACCCUUAUCUAAUAAGGGAGCAGAUCCUGGGUGAGCCCCAGGACUCCAUGACCACAUCUAUGGGUAACCCACAAGAGGGUACAGAGAUUUUCCUUGACAGUUCGGGCCUCCAAAUGUUUGACCCUAGAACCAUCCGUCAUCCCCGCUCAGAGGAGUGGUCCCCUCCCGAACAUUUAGCCAGAUUUCUGCACUUCUGGCUCAGAAAAUCUCUGGACAAGGAAGUGCAGAAACGGAUGAAAUCAGAAUGCCCUCGCCCAGUUCUGCCCGACAAGGUGGCACACACCCCCAAAUUCGACCCACUCAUGACCAGUUUCAUGUCCCGAGGUGGUCAGGACCCGCGCAAGGGCAUAGAACGUGGUUUUAAGGGAGCCCAGGACAAGCUGCUAGACGCCACUGGGCCACUAACAAGAAUUAUGGACAUGGCGGAUGACGCCUAUGAGAGGGCUGACGAUUUUACCCCAGAUAUGGUGCGUGAGUGGGCAUGAGAUACCCGAGAAUGGGCACAAAGGGAACACCAAUGUAGCCUUCUCUUCGGAGAGGCGCCGAGCAGCACUUUACCGUAUCGACGACAAACUUGUCGAACUUAGGGAUAAAGAAUUAGGCCCUUUGGCACAGGGCAAACUAUUCGGAGAGGCCUUCCUUAAAGAGUUGAAAAAAAAGGGUCAAUAUUUUUACGUCCCUUAACAAGGCGCAAACAUCGAUGCGGAAAGUUUUCCGCGGCCCUAACACCUGUGGUGUUUUUGGCAGGCUUGUCUACUCUACAUCGAUUCCACCAAUUCCGGGGAUCAGAUCGUGGACACAGCGGCCGAGGAUGCUCCCGGGCAAGAUUCUCCAGUGGUAAGUGAACAUUCUUCCCUGCCUCUAACCUCCUGUCAUAUCGCAGGUCGUGUUUCUCUUUUGUUCCAGAACUGGGCAGACCUAUCCUCAGACACAUGGAUCCUCCAAACAGUGCGGGGCUAUCAAAUAGAGUUCAAGACGACCCGGUUCCAACGGGCCCCUCCACGUCCGAUCCAGGUUACACAGGCGGACGCCCGUCUAAUAGACUCGGAAUUACGAGAACUACAAUCCAAAGGUGCCAAUCAGCCGGCCCCGGAUUCAACCGGAUUCUACAGUAACAUCUUCCUGGUCAGGAAGAAAACCGGCGAAUUUCGCCCUGUUAUCAAUCUCAGGGAGCUCAAUUCUCACGUGGUCUACCGACAUUUCAAAAUGGAGGGUAUCCACCUUCUCCUGGAUUUGCUUCGAGACAACGACUGGUUUACUCGUCUAGAACUCAGAUGUGUACCUUACCAUCCCGGUACACAAAAGGAGUCGCCCCUACCUCCGCUUCUUCUGGCACGGGACACCCUUCACCAAGAUAAUGAAGCCAGUAGUGGCGAAACUCAGAGCCCACAGCAUAAGAUGCAUCAUUUACCUCGACGACAUCCUGAUCUUCAACGAUACAGGGACUCUGAGAAGGCACACAACCUACAUGAUACAUCUACUUGAGUCUCUAGGUUUCAUUAUCAGUCGCCCCAAGUCCUCGAUGACCCUGGCUCAAUCAAUUCUAUUUCUCGGAUACGAAAUAGACUCCACAUCAUGCACUCUGCGCCUCCCGGCCGCAAAGAUUGCAGCCAUUCGCAGAGAAAUCCGGAAAGUACUGCGAUUGACAUCCAUACUCUAGAGACUACUGGCACUGAUCGUAGGCCUUCUCUCCUCAUCCAUCCAGGCCAUUUUUCCUGGACCCCUGCAUUACAGAGUCAUGCAAUGCCUCAAGACCAAAUUCCUUCACAGAAAACCUACAUACGACCAACCGGUCCCUAUGUCGGAUGAGGUUCGGGAGGAACUGCACUGGUGCCUGAACUGCAUGCAGGCUUGGAACAGCAGGGCCAUAUUCAGAAGCCAGCCAGACUUCGUGCUGGAAUCAGAUGCCAGCCGAUCAGGCUGGGGAGCAACGGACUUAACCUCCUCCACAGGAGGGGUAUGGACCUCCCAGGAGCUCUCGAUGCACAUCAACUGCCUGGAACUCUUGGCCGGAUCAUUCGCCAUUCGCAGCCUGGCAAAGGAACCAACCUCUGCAUCAUGCUCCGAAUGGACGUCUCAGCUGUAAGAUACAUCAACUGCCUCGGAGGCACACGUUCCCAAGCACUAGUGGAACUCACGAAAAGAGAUCUUCGACUACUGCCUACCACGCAACAUCACGCUGCUGGCAGAAUAUCUACUGGGACAAUCCAACAUGACGGUGGACUGGUACUCACGCCACUGGUGAGACGCCAGCGAUUGGCAACUAGACCCUCAUGUUUUCACAACACUAGACGCACAGAGCGGCCCUUUCAUCCUAGAUCUAUUCGCGUCCCGCAACAACUAACAAACGAAGAACUUCUUCAGCUGGCUCCCAGACCCGGAGAGCCUAGCAACAGAUGCUUUUCUACAACAAUGGCCACAAGGCGGAGCUUACGCAUUCCCACCUUUCUCAAUGAUAACGAGGGUCCUUCACCAGAUCCGCAUACAGAGGGUGAAGAUAACCCUCAUCACUCAACUUUGGCAGAGUCAACCAUGGUUCCCGGGCUUUCUGGAACUGUCAAUAAUGGACCCCCUUCUCCUACUAGAGGCUCCGACCAUCCUCAAGAACCCGUUGGGACUACCUCAUCCGCUGGUCAUGGAGGAACGCCUUCCCCUGGUGGCCUGGACUCUCUUGGUGAACCGAGGACCUAUCGCAGGAAACUAAGGAUCUCCUAUGGGACUCAUGGGCCCCAGGAACGAGGAGGUGCUACUUAUCAGCAUGGCACUCCUGGAAAAGUUGGUGUUUGGGACAGGAUCUCAAUCCCUUUACUGCACCUAUUUCCUCAAUCAUGAAUUUCUUAACCUCUCUAUUCACAGCCGGAAAGUCUUAUCGGUCUAUCAGCAUAGUACAUUCAGCCAUCUCAGCGGCCCAUACUCCGACCCACGGGACACCUGUCGGUCAGGACCCGCUCGUCUGCAGACUCCUCCGCGGCAUGCGCCUUCGACGUCCCCUGGAACCCAAAUAUUCAAGCCUUUGGGACGUCGGCAUUGUCUUACAAUUCUUACGGGAUUGGCCUCCCUACAAAGAUUUGUCACUCCGACAAUUUACCGUGAAAUUCACCUUCUUGCUCUGUCUGGCUUCCUUUCGAUGGGUAUCCGACGUACGAGCCUUCGAUGCCGACGCAUUUACCUUUUGCCCAACGGGGGUAACCUUUCAGGUCUCACUACGCACAAAGUCCAACUAUUCCUCAGUGUUCUACCCCUUCUUCCCUUCAGACCCACAACUCUGCAUGGUCUCUACUCUCCGUCACUACGUGGAAGCCGCCGCGAUGUUGCGGCAAUCUUCCAAUCGUCAACUUCUCAUCUCAUACGUCUGCCCUUACGGUCCAGCUUCGGCCAAUACAUUAGCCAGAUGGGCUAGAUGGCUACUAUCCCUUGCUGGUAUUGACCAAACUUUUGGAGCACAUUCCGUCCACGGGGUCGCGCCCUCUUCCGCUUAUGCAGCAGGUGCUUCUCUUUCAGACAUCUUACGGGCGGCAGACUGGACCAGAGAAUCCACUUUUAGGACAUUUUACUUCCGUCCUCUUGAUAAUCCCAGCGUUAAAAUUGCAAAAUACGAAGCCUCCUGUCAUGUGAUAAAAUUGAAGAUUAUGUUAGCUUCAGUGUACUGAUAAUCUUAAUUUUAAUAAUGACAGGAGGCAAGUAUUUUCCCUCCCUAUUCAUUUCAUAUGUAUCUACGGCUUUUUGUUUUCUCAUAUUCUUGUAUAAAUACCUAACUUAUGGUCGCAUUUGUAUUAAUGCCUUACUUACGUACAUUCAAAGAUUUUAUACAUAUACUCAAUAUUUAGUUAACACCGUUAGACGGGAGGACAUUUUGUUAUUAUUAAUACUAGAUGUUAUUAAGUUAAAUUAAGGGAUAGACAUUUAUUGUUUUGCACAAUCAUUUUUUGGAAUCUAAUACCCUUUAUACUCUCGUUUCAGCUUAAUCAGAAACCACAAAGAAAUAUUAAAGACUCCAUGCAAGGUUUCAUCAUCAUCACAUCAUGGAACCUUAUCAUCAAGUCAUGGAGGAUCAUCGUUUCAAAGCAGGAUGCCUUCGUCUGCAUUUUACCUGUUCAUGUUCAAGUUAUUCAUAUUAGUUUUUCCAUUAUCUUAUUCUAUGGAGUUUUUCAAGUUGUUCUAUUAUUAUUCUGCAUUAUGACCUUGUGAUGUCGCAGUUUUAAAGAGGAAAUGAUGUCAAAUGUCACGCCUCUUGUACCCUAUACUGCAUUGUGAUUGGUUCUCCGCCUUGUCACUCUUUUCUUUGCUGCUAUGGAGUUAGUAAAGAAAGAUUAUGCAAAAUACUCGCCUCCUGUCCUUAUUAAAAUUAAGAUUAUCAGUACACUGAAGCUAACAUAAUCUUCAAUUACACAGAUCCUCUGUCAUUUACAGAUGCAGAAGCCCAAUGAACUAGGACUAAUCUAAUAUAAAGCAAAUAUUUUUUGCUAUUAACAUGUCAGAAGAUCAUAUACUGCUAAGUAUGUGCAAUAUAUAUAUAUAUAUAUAUAUAUAUAUAAAUCGUAUAAUCUAUUCAAUGGACUGUCAUGUGCAAAGUGAAAUAAAGUCAAUUUAUUUCGUUCACAGAGCAAGCUUCUCGGCUGAAUUGCUUUAUGGGUUUAAUUGUUUACUCUAGCAAUCUGACAACAAAUAAAAGCCAAUGCAGUUUACAUGGCUAGUUACAUAGGAUGAAAAGAGACUUGUGGCUAUCAAGUUCAGCCUCUCUCAUCUGUUUUUGCUGUUGAUCCAAAGUAAGGCAGAAAAAAACAGUUUGAAGUGCUUUCUUAUUUUGCAACUAACUGGGAAUAAAAUAUUUUUGGCCCCAGAAUUGCAAUUAGAUCUCUUCUUGGAUCAGGAAGCUGUUACCCUACAUAUUAAAAAUUAUAUCCCUGUAUAUUAUGUUUAUGCAAAUAUUCAUCCAGUUGCUGUUUAAACAUUUGUACAGACUCUGAUGAAAACACCACUUCAGGCAGAGAAUUUCACAUUUUUAUUGUUCUUACGGAAAGAAUAAAUCUCCUUUCUGUCAGUCUAAAUGUGUGACCUUGUGUUCCGAUUAUGGAUAGAUUGCCAGACAAUGAAUUUUAUUGACCCUGGAUACAUUCGUAUAAUGCUAUCAUAUCCCCUCUGAGGUUUUCUAAAUUAAAGAGAUUUACAUUUGUUAACCUUUCUUCAUAACUAAAAUGCUUCAUUCCUUUUAUUAAUUGUGUAGGCUGCCCAUGCACUUUUCUUAGUGCCAUAAUAUCCUUCUUUAGAACAGGUGCCCAAAAUUGCACAGCAUAUUCAUGGUGUGCUCUUACCAUUGAUUUAUAAAGAGGCAAAAUUAUAUUUCCUUCCCAAGAAUCACUACCCUUUUUCAUGCAUGACGAUACAUACAUUACUGGUCUUAGCAACUGCUGAAUGACAUUGCACAUUGUUACCUAAUUGCUGUCUAUAACAAUUCCCAAAUCCUUAUAAAUUCACUACCAUUUAGGGUAUAAAUUGUUUGUGUAUUCUUUACCCUGAAGAGCAAACUUUGCAUUUAUCUAUGUUAAAUUUCAUCUGACAUUUCAAUUCCCAAGCCUCUAAUCCAGUGAUGGCGAACCUUUUUGAGCCCGAGUGCCCAAACCGCAAUACAUGCCAACUUUUUUUCUCCUUAAAGUGCCAACACGGCAAUUAAACCCAAAUACUGAGGUUUAAGUUUAGAAAAAACUACUCGUACUGUUGUCCGAACUAAUAACUUUUGUUUUAAAAGAACACAGAGAGUACAAUGAUACAAAUUUUAAAUAAUGAUAUAAAUAGAUAAAAUUAAGCUUAUAUUUAUUAGUAUCUCCAACAAAUGCAAUACAUACAUACCAGUGGUGUAUCCUGGUUUUGUGCUGCCCCCCCCUCCCCCCCGCGCCAACCCUCCUCCCUAACCCGCCUUCUAAAUACACACACACACACACAUACAUUCACUGACAGAUACGCAUACACUCGCUAACAGAAACACACACACACUAACAGACACACUCACUAACAGACACACACUCACUGACACACACACUCACAGGCAAACACACUCACACAGUCAGACACACACACUCACUGACACACAGUCAGACACACACAUACACACUAACAGACAAACACAGUCAGACACACACACACUCACUGACACACAGUCAGACACACACAUACACACUAACAGACAAACACAGUCACACACACUAACAGACACACACUCACUCACUAGCAGACACACACACACUAACAAACACACACACACACAUUAACAGACACACACUCACUGACACACACACUAGCAGACACACACACACACUAGCAGACACACACACACAGACACACACAUACACACUAACAGACACAGUCAGACACACACUAACAGACACACACUCACACAGUCAGACACACACACACUAACAAAACACACACACAUUAACAGACACACACUCACUCACUCACAUUUUUUUUUUUUAUUUACCCCCCCCCCCCAACUUCCUUACCUUUGGGAGUGCUGGGGGGGAGGGGUUCAUUACCUCCCUGGUGGUCCAGUGGUUGCCGGCUGGGCUGGGCAGGCGAGGGAGCUCUUCCCCUGAGCGGUCUGCUCAGCUCCCUCGCGCGCCGUAAAGUGAGGCUGGGAGCCGGAAGAUGACGUCAUCUUCCGGAUCCCAGCCUCACUCUGCGGCGCGCGAGGGAGCUGAGCAGACCGCUCAGGGGAAGAGCUCCCUCGCCAGCCGCCAGCCGCCCGCCCAGUGCCCUCCCAGCAUUGAGGUGGGGGGUGCUGUGUGUGGGGGGGUGCUUGUGUGGGGGGUGCGUGUGUGCUUGAGUGUUGUAUGUUAGUGGUGCUGUGUGUAUGCGAGGGGUGCUGUGUGUGUGUGGGGGUGUUGUGUGUGUGUGUGUGUGUGGGGUGCUGUGUGUGUGUGUNNNNNNNNNNNNNNNNNNNNNNNNNNNNNNNNNNNNNNNNNNNNNNNNNNNNNNNNNNNNNNNNNNNNNNNNNNNNNNNNNNNNNNNNNNNNNNNNNNNNUUUUUUUUAUUUAUUUUUUCUUGAUCCUGCAUCUAUCUAAUACCUCCACAAGAACCUCUCCAUGCACUGGCACUUUCUUCCAAAUCUGCCUACAUAUAUCCUUGGGCGGGAUCAUACCACCAUGCUGAUUUUAUAGAGCAGAUGAUGCUCCUAAAAAUGUAAGUAGGUUACAUUGCAAAUUUUUUUCUAGUACCACUAUUCAAAGUAGAGAGCACUAUAUUGUAUUACAUUUAUUUAAUAAGCCAACUGUAUUGCGAAUAUCCAAAGAGAGAUCUCCAGUUUUAACCGAUUAUUCCACUUAUGACUUUUAUCAUUACAUUAUCUAGGACAUUGUGUAUAUUGGGUUAUUUAUUAUUUUGGUAAUACAAAAAGUCUCUAGUUCACAUUUAGAGCUAUGCAAUUUCUUUUUCUCGUUUUACCUUUUUCUUUACUUAAUCUUAUUCUGUUUAAUGCAGCAGCACUCUGGAGCUGAUUGAUUCAGUGGAAAACAAAUAGGCUCAUGUAAAUUAUGCUUUAUGACUACUCAAUGCCUAUGAUUGCCUUAUACUCACCAUGUCUACCGUUAUACUGCUGAGUGAAUAUGUUGGGCUCCUCUAGCUCUUAGACAUGGCUAUUUAGUGUUACCUUAUUUAAAAAAGUGCUAGUAUAGCGAUGUAUAUGUGUGUAUGCAUUCUAUCUAUAUGUCUUUCAUUGUCAAUGUAUACUCCUGUAAUGCUGUUGUGGCCUUGCAUGUUGUCUUUGUAGUUUCAAAUAAAUAAAAAACAAUAUGAACAAUGCAUAGUCUAAGGUUUAUGUUUUACCCUCCCCUCCAAUUUUCUUUUCUGUACCCACCUCCCACCCCCACGUACGUACUAUUAAGAAUGUAUUGAGGUGCCUAUUAUAUAUUGAUAUUACCAAUCAACAUUAUGAUCCACUAGCCAUAUUGCACAGAAUACAAAGUACAGGAUCACCCUCCUUUGCAGGUUGAUUCAAAUUAACCAGGAUGACCUACCAAGCCCAGUUCCUCAGUCCUGUUCCCAUAAAGGUUUCAGGUGGACAGAAUUGCUGUUACAAAUGUCAUGCAAAUUGUGUGUCGCUAACCUAAAGUUGAAAUAAUGAAAAUGCGAAAAUGCUUUACAAUUAGGGUGGAUACAUGAAACAGUUCAACCCUACCGUCUCUUCUUUUUGUACGCCCCCCCCCCCCACCCUUUUUUUAUAAAACAAUAAAAUAUAUAUAUUUUUUUUAAAUAAGAAAAGGGCAUUCAAAGCCUUUAAAUCGGACAAAUCAGAUGCAUCCUAUAAAAGAUAUAAGGAAGCCAAUAAUGUGUGCAAAAAGGCAAUUAGAUUCCCUAAACUUCAAAAAAAAUAUUAUAGCCAAAGAGAGCAAAUCCAACCCCAAAGCAUGUUUUAAGUACAUAAAUUCUAAAAAAAUAAAAAUAAAUGAAAGUGUAGGUACACUAAAAACCAGGAAUGGGGGUGUUAGUUAAUGAGGAUCAGGAAAAGGUAGAAAUUUUAAAUAACUAUUUUUUCUCUGUAUACAUUAAGGAAGAAUCUAUGGCAAUAUAUAUGCAAAUGAUUGCUGCAAAAAACUUGCAGAAAAAUUGUCAUUGGCAAACUCAAGACAAGGUGCUGCAGCAACUAAAGAAAGUUAAUAUUAACAAAGCUCCAGGGUCUGAUGGUAUUCAUCCAUGAGUACUUAAGGAACUAAGUGUGGAAAUAAGUGAACAUCUGUUUUUAAUCUUUUAUUAAUGUGGUUCCUAUAUUCAAAAAGGGUUCCAAAUCCUGGAAAUUAAAAACAUCUGAGCUUAACUUAUGUGGCUGGGAAAGUAUUUGAAAGGGUAUUAAGGAAUAAUAUUCAAGAAUUCCUUGAGAAGAAGAUAGUUAUCAGCAAAAGCAGCAUGGUUUUAUGAAGCACAGAUCAUGUCAGACUAACUUGAUUGUAUUCUACGAAGAAGUAAGUAGAAGUAUAGAUCAGGGUGUUGCAGUGGAUGUGAUCUAUUUGGAUUUUGCCAAGGUGUUUGAUUCAGUUCCACACAAAAGAUUAGUGUUCAAACUCAAAGAUAUCGGUCUAGAUGAAAAUCCUUGUUCUUGGUUAGAACUUGGCUUUAAAGUACAGUACAGAGAGUUGUCAUUAAUGGUACAUUUUCAAGCUAGACAGAGGUGGCCCUCAGGGUUCUGUUCUGGAACCCCUUCUAUUUAACAUGUUUAUGAAUGAUUUUGAAAAAAGCAUUGAAAGUCAUGAUUUAGUGUUUGCAGAGGACACAAAACUCUGUAAAGUAAUACAAUGUGAGCAAAAUAUUACUUUGCUGCAGAGGAAUUUAGAUAGACUAGGGGACCAGGCACUCAAAUGGCAGAUGAAACGUAAUGUGGAAUAAUGCAAAGUUAUUCACUUCGGCAUAAAGAAUGCACAAGCAACUUAUACCAUUAAUGGAAGCCAAUUAGGGAUAGCAUCACACGAGAAUGACUUGGGAAUUGUUACAGACAACAAACUAUGCAACAAUGUGCAAUGCCAUUUUGGGUAAAGAGGAAAAAAAUUCCUAGUUUAUUGCAAAAUUUGAAGUGCUUCAAACUGGGUUGUUGUUUUUUUUUUGCCUUCUUUUGGAUCAACAGCAAAAAACAAAUGUGAGGAAGCCUAAACUUGAUGGACACAUGUUUCUUUUCAGCAUAUGUAACUAUGUAACUAACCUUUGGCCUUGUGGCUAAUGAAGAUGUGUAUGCAUUUGCAUCUUUGGGAGCUGUCACAAAAAUAGCCCCUGCACUAGCACUUGGUUGACUAUUGAUAUGAGAAGGGAAAUGGCGGUGUUAAUAAUAAUUUCACUGGGGAGCUACUUCUGGCAUUAGCAGAUGAUGAUCCAGCUGUUUUAUAUGAACUAAGUUGGCCCAUGCUCUUUGAAACACCUUCUUCUAAUUCCUCUGCAUCAUCAUGCAGGGGCCGCCAUCAGAAAAUUUGGGGCCCAUGACAAAGCACAAGGUCUGGCCCCCCCCCCCCUCCUCGCGGGCCCGCCCACGCCCUACCUAGUCAGCUCACAAUGAUGCAGGUCUGAAUGUGGUGUGUGUAUAGUGGAAGUGAAUUAGAAUGUGUGUAAUGGAUGUAGUGUUUGUGUGUAUUAGAUACUGUUUGUGCAAUGAAUGCAGAGUGUGUGUUUGUGUAGCGGAUGCAGUGUGUAUAGUGAACGCAGAGUGUUUUUGAGUAGUGGAUGUAGUGUGUACAGUGAUGUAGUGUGUGUUUGUGUAGUGGAUGUAGUGUUUGUAUGUACUAGAUGAAAUGUGUUUAGUGGAUGCAGUGUCUGUAGUGUGUGUAUUAGACGCAGUGUCUGUGAAUAGUGAAUGCAGAGUGUUUCAAUUUGUGGUGGAUGUAGUGUGUGUACUGUGAAUACAGGAUGUUUGUGUAGUGGAUGCUGUGUGUACAGUUAAUGCAGAGUGUAUGUUAGUGUAGUGAAUGCAGAGUGUGUGUGCAUAGUUUAGUGAAUGCAGAGUGUGUGUUAGUGUGUAAUGAAUGCAGAGUGUAUGUUAGUGUGUAGUGAAUGCAGAGUGCGUCAGUGUAAUGAAUGUAGUGUGUGUGUUAGUGCAGUGAAUGCAUAGUGUGUGUAAAUUUGUUGUGAAUGCAGAGAGUGUGUUAGUAUGUAGCGGAUGCAGAGUGUGUGUUAGUGUAGUGAAUGCAGUGUUAAUGUGUAGUGAAUGCAAAGAGUGUGUUAGUGUGUAGCGGAUGCAGAGUGUGUGUUAGUGUAGCGGAUGCAGAGUGUGU